UGAAUACGAGAUGCUACGGCGUCGAAGCAGUCUAUGUCAUACUUCCAAGAAAAGCUUGCACUGUCAUAAACAAAUAAUGCCUGUACCAUAACCGACACAGGUGGGUAGGUAGAGUAUACUAAGGGGCGCGAGAUAACUCUCUCUAAGGAACUCGGCAAAAUGACUCCGUAACUUCGGGAGAAGGAGUGCCUUAUUUAUAAGGUUGCAAUAACAAGAUCCAAGCAACUGUUUAUCAAAAACACAGGUCUCCGCUAAGUCGUAAGACGAUGUAUGGGGGCUGACGCCUGCCCAGUGCCAGAAGGUUAAAGAAGUUGGUUAGCAUUAGCGAAGCUGAUAACUGAAGCCCUGGUGAACGGCGGCCGUAACCAUAACGGUCCUAAGGUAGCGAAAUUCCUUGUCGGGUAAGUUCCGACCCGCACGAAAGGCGUAAUGAUUUGGAUACUGUCUCAGAGAGGGGCUCGGUGAAAUAGACUUGUCUGUGAAGAUGCGGACUACCUGCACCAGGACAGAAAGACCCUAUGAAGCUUUACUGUAACUUGAAAUUGAAAUUGGACUUUAUUUGCGCAGUAUAGGUGGGAGGCAUUGAGAACAUUCUUGCGGGAUUGUUGGAGCCAUCAGUGAGAUACCACUCUUGUAAUGUUAGAUUUCUAACUUUGUAUCAUUAUCUGGUCAAAGGACAGUUUCAGGCGGGCAGUUUGACUGGGGCGGUCGCCUCCUAAACGGUAACGGAGGCGCACAAAGGUUUCCUCUGAACGGGUAGAAAUCGUAUCUAGAGUGUAAAGGCAUAAGGAAGCUUGACUGUGAGACCUACAAGUCGAGCAGGGACGAAAGUCGGUCUUAGUGAUCUGACGGUGCUGAGUGGAAAGGCCGUCACUCAACGGAUAAAAGUUACUCUAGGAUAACAGGCUGAUCUCCCCCAAGAGUUCACAUCGACGGGGAGGUUUGGCACCUGGAUGUCGGCUCAUCGCAUCCUGGGGCGGUAGUACGUCCCAAGGGUUGGGCUGUUCGCCCAUGAAAGCGGUACGCGAGCUGGGUUCAGAACGUCGUGAGACAGUUCGGUCCAUAUCCGGUGUAGGCGUUAGAAUAUUGAGAGGAGCCUUCUUUAGUACGAGAGGACCGAGAAGGACAUACCUCUGGUGUACCAGUUAUCGUGCCAACGGUAAACGCUGGGUAGCUAUGUAUGGAGAGGAUAACCGCUGAAAGCAUCUAAGUGGGAAGCCCACCUCAAGAUAAG
rnacentral:rRNA from 1 species